rnacentral:rRNA from 1 species
AAAUGAAACUAGACUACUUUCUUACACCACAUACAAAAAUAAACUCAAGAAGCUAAGCAGGAUCAGGCCUGGUUAGUACUUGGAUGGGAGACCACCUGAGAAUACCAGGUGCUGUAGGCU